UACGGAGGGUGCAAGCAUUAAUCGGAUUUAUUGGGCGUAAAGGGCGCGUAGGCGGGGAUAAAAGUCAGAUGUGAAAUCCCGAGGCUCAACCUCGGAACAGCAUUUGAAACUCUAUCUCUUGAGGGUAGGCGGGGAAAACGGAAUUCCACAUGUAGCGGUGAAAUGCGUAGAUAUGUGGAAGAACAUCGGUGGCGAAGGCGGUUUUCUAGCUUAUUCCUGACGCUGAGGCGCGAAAGCAAGGGGAUCAAACAGG
rnacentral:rRNA from 1 species